rnacentral:rRNA from 1 species
UACGUAGGUGGCAAGCGUUGUCCGGAUUUACUGGGCGUAAAGAGCGCGCGGGCGGUCGUUCAAGUCGCGUGUGAAAGCCCCCGGCUCAACUGGGGAGGGUCACGCGAUACUGAUCGACUCGAAGGCAGGAGAGGGAAGUGGAAUUCCCGGUGUAGUGGUGAAAUGCGCAGAUAUCAGGAGGAACACCUAUUGCGAAGGCAGCUCGCUGGGACGUUACUGACGCUGAGACGCGAAAGCGUGGGGAGCGAACAGG